ACCGCAGACCGCCUUAUCGUCGUUCAUUUUAUAUGAAGGGAGGAAAGUCCGGACACCAUAGGGAAGCAUAGCGGAUAACAUCCGUCGUUCCGAGUAAUCGGGAAAGGACAAGUGCAACAGAAAGCAGGUACAGGUCAAGCUGUAGUGAAACCAGGUAAACUCUAUGCGGUGAAAUUUCAAGUAUAUCAGCAGUUAAGGGCUUCUCGUCCGUUGUUGAAGGGUAGAAAGAUGGAUUCCGUGAGCAAUUGCGGAACUAGAUAAAUGAUAAGGGUUUCGAGCAAUCGAGAUACAGAAUCCGGCUUACAGGUCUGCUUUUUUU
rnacentral:RNase_P_RNA from 1 species